CUGUCGGUGUUAACUGGCAUGUUCUGUGGAACGUCCUGCCGGUGGUGGUCCGGGCUCUCGUUCUGCGUAAGGGUUUCCCGAAGCAGGGCGAAAAGUUCCGGCCGCCGGUUCAAUCCCGCCACGGUGCUCUUCACCGAGUGUCGAGGUGGGCCGGCACUUUUACUUUGAACAAAUUAGAGUGCUUAAAGCAGGCGGUUUCCGCCUGAAUACUGUGUGCAUGGAAUAAUAGAAUAGGACCUCGGUUCUAUUUUGUUGGUUUUCAGAACCCGAGGUAAUGAUUAAUAGGGACAGGCGGGGGCAUUCGUAUUGCGACGUUAGAGGUGAAAUUCUUGGAUCGUCGCAAGACGAACCUAAGCGAAAGCAUUUGCCAAGUAUGUUCUCGUUAAUCAAGAACGAAAGUUAGAGGUUCGAAGGCGAUCAGAUACCGCCCUAGUUCUAACCAUAAACGAUGCCAGCCAGCGAUCCGCCGAAGUUCCUCCGAUGACUCGGCGGGCAGCUUCCGGGAAACCAAAGCUUUUGGGUUCCGGGGGAAGUAUGGUUGCAAAGCUGAAACUUAAAGGAAUUGACGGAAGGGCACCACCAGGAGUGGAGCCUGCGGCUUAAUUUGACUCAACACGGGAAACCUCACCAGGCCCGGACACCGGAAGGAUUGACAGAUUGAGAGCUCUUUCUUGAUUCGGUGGGUGGUGGUGCAUGGCCGUUCUUAGUUGGUGGAGCGAUUUGUCUGGUUAAUUCCGAUAACGAACGAGACUCUAGCCUGCUAACUAGGCGAUUCCCGGUACCCACAAUAGUGUUACCGGCGAUUCAAUUUCUUCUUAGAGGGACAGGCGGCUUCUAGCCGCACGAGACUGAGCAAUAACAGGUCUGUAAUGCCCUUAGAUGUUCUGGGCCGCACGCGCGCUACACUGAAGGAAUCAGCGUGUCUUCCCUGGCCGACAGGCCCGGGUAACCCGUUGAACCUCCUUCGUGCUAGGGAUUGGGGCUUGCAAUUGUUCCCCAUGAACGAGGAAUUCCCAGUAAGCGCGAGUCAUAAGCUCGCGUUGAUUACGUCCCUGCCCUUUGUACACACCGCCCGUCGCUACUACCGAUUGAAUGAUUUAGUGAGGUCUUCGGACUGGUGCGCGGCUGUCGGAUCUCUGGCAGCCGAUGUUGCUGGAA
rnacentral:rRNA from 2 species